rnacentral:rRNA from 1 species
CCCUUAGAUGUUCUGGGCCGCACGCGCGCUACACUGACGAAUGCAACGAGCUUAUAACCUUGGCCGAAAGGUCUGGGUAAUCUCCAAAUUUCGUCGUGAUGGGGAUAGAUUAUUGCAAUUAUUAAUCUUCAACGAGGAAUGCCUCGUAAGCGCAAGUCAUCAGCUUGCGUUGAUUACGUCCCUGCCCUUUGUACACACCGCCCGUCGCUCCUACCGAUUGAAUGGUCCGGUGAAGCGUUCGGACCGUGGCCUUUGGACGGUUCGCCGUCUGUUGGCUGCGGGAAGUUCGUUAAACCUUAUCAUUUAGAGGAAGGAGAAGUCGUAACA